rnacentral:rRNA from 1 species
CGGAGGGUGCAAGCGUUAUCCGGAUUCACUGGGUUUAAAGGGUGCGUAGGAGGGCAGGUAAGUCAGUGGUGAAAUCUCCGAGCUUAACUCGGAAACUGCCGUUGAUACUAUCUGUCUUGAAUACGGUGGAGGUGAGCGGAAUAUGUCAUGUAGCGGUGAAAUGCUUAGAUAUGACAUAGAACACCAAUUGCGAAGGCAGCUCACUACACCAAUAUUGACUCUGAGGCACGAAAGCGUGGGGAUCAAACAGGAUUAGAUACCCUGGUAGUCCACGCCCUAAACUAUGGAUACUCGACAUACGCGAUACACUGUGUGUGUCUGAGCGAAAGCAUUAAGUAUCCCACCUGGGAAGUACGACCGCAAGGUUG